GUAAACUCUAAAUCCUAAACCCUAAAAAAUUAACCCUAAACCCUAAAACAUCAACUCUAAACCCUAAACUCUAGGGUUUAGGAUUUACGUUUAGGGUUUAUAGUUGAUGUUUUAGGGUUUAGAUUUAAAAGUUUAGGGUUUAGGGUUUAGAGUUUAGAGUUGAUGUUUCGGUGUUUAUGGUUUAGAGUUGAUGUUUCAUAGUUUUGGGUUUAGAGUUGAUGAUUUAAGGUUUAGAGUUGAUGUUUUAAGUUUAGAUUUGUUAAACUUAUGUUUUUUUGUCAAAGUUAAUCAAAAGGUUAUAAAUGUCUUUUACCAUUCAUUAAAGAUGGUGGUAAAAGUGGUUAGUGUAAACAUGAAAAGUGAU
rnacentral:lncRNA from 1 species